rnacentral:rRNA from 1 species
ACGAGAAAGUACCUUCGGGUACGAGUAAAGUGGCGGACGGGUGAGGAACGCGUGGAUAACCUACCCUUCAGCGGGGGAUAACUACUCGAAAGAGUGGCUAAUACCGCAUAUGACUACGAUACCUGCGGGUGAUGUAGUAAAAGGCUUCGGCCACUGAAGGAUGGGUCCGCGUCCGAUUAGCUUGUUGGUGGGGUAAAAGCCUACCAAGGCUGCGAUCGGUAGCUGGUCUCAGAGGAUGAUCAGCCACACUGGAACUGAGACACGGUCCAGACUCCUACGGGAGGCAGCAGUAGGGAAUAUUGCACAAUGGGGGAAACCCUGAUGCAGCGACGCCGCGUGAGCGAUGAAGGCCUUCGGGUUGUAAAGCUCUGUGAUAGGGGAAGAUAAUGACGGUACCCUAUCAGAAAGGACCGGCUAACUUCGUGCCAGCAGCCGCGGUAAUACGAGGGGUCCGAGCGUUGUUCGGAAUUACUGGGCGUAAAGCGGGUGUAGGCGGCCAUGAAAGUCGGAUGUGAAAGCCCAGGGCUCAACCCUGGAAGUGCAUCCGAUACUGCAUGGCUUGAGUACUGGAGAGGGAAGUGGAAUUCCUGGUGUAGCGGUGAAAUGCGUAGAUAUCAGGAGGAACAUCGGUGGCGAAGGCGGCUUCCUGGCCAUGUACUGACGCUCAGACCCGAAAGCGUGGGUAGCAAACAGGAUUAGAUACCCUGGUAGUCCACGCCGUAAACAAUGGACACUUGGGUGUCGGAGGUAUUGA